rnacentral:rRNA from 1 species
CGCAUAUUAAAGUUGUUGCAGUUAAAAAGCUCGUAGUUGGAUUUGUGGCGUAUGGUGUGUUCCGGGCACUUGUUGUCUGAGUGACCUGCUGUUGCCAUCCUUGAGUGGAACCUGUGUGGCAUUAGGUUGUCGUGCAGGGGAUGCCCAUCAUUUACUGUGAAAAAAUUAGAGUGUUCAAAGCAGGCUUAUGCCGUUGAAUAUAUUAGCAUGGAAUAAUGAGAUAGGACUUUUUUACUAUUUUGUUGGUUUGCGUAAAGAGGUAAUGAUUAAUAGGGACAGUUGGGGG